rnacentral:lncRNA from 1 species
CCCUGGUUUGUGCCAUCCUGAGCCCUGGACACCACCACAGCUGAUGCAGAACUUCCAUUUGCAGCUGAGCUCAGCAGGGGAACGGCAGAAAUGAGUGCAAGAAGACAGAAACACCAGAAAGUCUUUGCCUGUGAUCACAGCAUUGCUCUCCGUAACAAUCAACCACCAGAAGUGAAGGCAAUUUACAGGAGGAAAAGCAACAACUAACCUAUAAAUGAAGUACUGCAUUUCUUCUCAAUGUAUUUUCCCCCCAAGCAAUCAAUUAAUGUUUCUGCAACAAAGAGAUUAUCAGCUCCUGUGAGUGGGAAAGGAGGGGUCUGAUGUGAGAGUGAGGGGGCUCUGCUGCACAUGACACACUGCAGAAAGAAGCACCUCCUGCAAGAUGCAGCACAUUGCAUCCAACAAAUGGGAGACAUUCCUGCACUGAGGAAUCAUCUUACCUCUGAAUCCAAACAUCUCUAUGAGUGAAUACAUGAAAUAGCUCUUCUGUGCAGUGGGAAGCAACCUAACGAGCCUGAGCUACACUGAGGGCACUGGAGGAGUUUACAAAUGUGUGGAGAGCAUGUGCUGAGCAGCCCAGGGGAAACCACUCAAGGGAGUCCUCUGACAGAGCUGGGGACAGCACUGUGCCUGGAGCAGAACCGAAAAUCAACCUAAGCAAAAAAAGAGGCAUCUCAAUCUCCAUUGAAUGCAUUUCACAGGAAGCCAGAACAUGUUUUGGAUGGCAAAAUGGGAUAAGAGGAUUUACAUACUGGACACUGCAGUAAAAAGAGACUCAGAAGAAGAAUACAGCCAGUCUGCUGCUCUAUGGUCAAGGUUUGCUCUCUAGAGUUUCCUCAGUUAACCCAGGGACUGGCUUCCUACAGCUGGCUACCAGUUCAACACUUGAAGCACAGCUCAUCUUUAACAAAGUCCCAAGAUGAUGAAUGUGGUACCAAUCUCAGCCUGCAUGGGCAACACCAGCUCUGGACCAGCUCUGGAGUCUCUUGAACAGCAGCAC